UGAGAUCUUUCUUCACUGACAAGUUGAAGAGAAACAAAAGGGAUAUUCAAAUAUCCAUGGAGAAUUUUCCUUUGGGACUCUGAUGCACAUCAGCACAUUGUUCUCCUUCAUGUGGAAGCCCUGGGUAACAAAAGGAAGGGUAAACGUUUUGAGAACAAUGGCUGAAAGACUUG
rnacentral:lncRNA from 12 species